rnacentral:tRNA from 1 species
GUUAAAAUAGCAUAUUUAUGCAUUAGGCUUAAGAUCUAGAGAUAAGAAUUAGUUAAUUCUUUUUUAAUA